rnacentral:rRNA from 1 species
AGUAGGGAAUAUUAGUUCAUGUGCGAAAGCGCGAACUAGCAACGCCGCGUGUGCGAUGAAGGUCUUCGGAUCGUAAAGCACUUUUCGAGAAGAUGAGGAAGGACAGUACUCUCGGAAUAAGUCUCGGCUAACUACGUGCCAGCAGCCGCGGUAAAACGUAGGAGGCAAGCGUUAUCCGGAUUUACUGGGCGUAAAGCGCGUGCAGGCGGUUUGGUAAGUUGGAUGUGAAAGCUCCCGGCUCAACUGGGAGAGGUCGUUCAAAACUACCAGACUUGAGGGCGGUAGAGGGAAGUGGAAUUCCGUGUGUAGUGGUGAAAUGCGUAGAUAUACGGAGGAACACCAGUGGCGAAAGCGGCUUCCUGGACCGAUCCUGACGCUCAGACGCGAAAGCUAGGGGAGCAAACGGGAUUAGAGACCCCGGUAGUCCUAGCUGUAAACGAUGUGAACUUGGCGUCGGUGGGUUUAAAUCCAUCGGUGCCGUAGCUAACGCGAUAAGUUCA